rnacentral:rRNA from 1 species
ACGGGAGGCAGCAGUGGGGGAUAUUGCGCAAUGGGGGAAACCCUGACGCAGCGACGCCGCGUGGGCGAGGAAGCGCCUCGGCGCGUAAAGCCCGGUCAGCGGGGAAGAAGAAGGACGGUACCCGCAGUGGAAGCCCCGGCUAAAUACGUGCCAGCAGCCGCGGUAAUACGUAUGGGGCGAGCGUUAUCCGGAUUCACUGGGCGUAAAGGGAGCGCAGGCGGCGCGCCAGGAGCGUGCGUGGAAACGCGGGGCCCAACCCCGCGCGUGCGCCGCUAACCUGCGUGCUGGAGUCCCGGAGGGGCAGGCGGAAUUCCCGGUGUAGCGGUGGAAUGCGCAGAUAUCGGGAGGAACACCGGCGGCGAAGGCGGCCUGCUGGACGGAGACUGACGCUGAGGCUCGAAAGCGCGGGGAGCGAACAGGAUUAGAUACCCUGGUA